ensembl:miRNA
UAACCUCCCAAAUAUAUAUAUAUAUGUACGUAUGUGUAUAUCAAUGUAUACGUAGAUAUAUAUGUAUUUUUGGUGGGUUU